rnacentral:tRNA from 1 species
CUGUCGCGUCCCGAGCGGAAGACAGCGGGACCCCGGCUCAAGGCCGGGGUGACGGGGGGUGGUUCAGGCCGCUUCCGCCAGA